GAUGAACGCUGGCGGCGUGCCUAAUACAUGCAAGUCGAGCGAACAGACGAGGAGCUUGCUCCUCUAACGUUAGCGGCGGACGGGUGAGUAACACGUGGAUAACCUACCUAUAAGACUGGGAUAACUUCGGGAAACCGGAGCUAAUACCGGAUAAUAUAUUGAACCGCAUGGUUCAAUAGUGAAAGACGGUUUUGCUGUCACUUAUAGAUGGAUCCGCGCCGCAUUAGCUAGUUGGUAAGGUAACAGCUUACCAAGGCAACGAUGCGUAGCCGACCUGAGAGGGUGAUCGGCCACACUGGAACUGAGACACGGUCCAGACUCCUACGGGAGGCAGCAGUAGGGAAUCUUCCGCAAUGGGCGAAAGCCUGACGGAGCAACGCCGCGUGAGUGAUGAAGGUCUUCGGAUCGUAAAACUCUGUUAUUAGGGAAGAACAAAUGUGUAAGUAACUAUGCACGUCUUGACGGUACCUAAUUAGAAAGCCACGGCUAACUACGUG
rnacentral:rRNA from 1 species